rnacentral:misc_RNA from 1 species
GUGAAUCAUCAAAUUUUUGAACGCAAAUUGCACUCUCUGGCAACCCGGGGAGUAUGCCUGUUUAAGGGUCAGUGUUAGUAAAAAUCGGUGCGUCGCAAUUUUUUUGUGGUGUUUCCGGAGUUUGAGUUAUCUUAACUCUUCUGGGUUUAAGAGGCUUAAAAUUGACCUUUUUUUGUGCAUUUUUAGACGUACAUAAAUUUUUUUAUUCGUUUAUCUUAAUGCCAAAAUCUAUUAGAUGCGACCAUAUCAAGUGGUUACGUGUCUAUAAAUUUUUUUCAUAAUUUGACCUCAAAUCAGGUAG